GACGGAGGAUGCAAGUGUUAUCCGGAAUCACUGGGCGUAAAGCGUCUGUAGGUGGUUUAAUAAGUCAACUGUUAAAUCUUGAGGCUCAACCUCAAAAUCGCAGUCGAAACUAUUAGGCUAGAGUAUAGUAGGGGUAAAGGGAAUUUCCAGUGGAGCGGUGAAAUGCGUAGAGAUUGGAAAGAACACCGAUGGCGAAGGCACUUUACUGGGCCAUUACUGACGCUGAGAGACGAAAGCUAGGGGAGCAAAUGGG
rnacentral:rRNA from 1 species